AAUCUUCCGCAAUGGACGAAAGUCUGACGGAGCAACGCCGCGUGAGCGAAGAAGGUUUUCGGAUCGUAAAGCUCUGUUGUGAGGGAAGAACAAGCAAGGGAGUCACUGUCCUUGCCAUGACGGUACCUCACCAGAAAGCCACGGCUCACUACGUUCCAGCAGCCGCGGUAAUACGUAGGUGGCAAGCGUUGUCCGGAAUUAUUGGGCGUAAAGGGCAUGCAGGCGGUCAUAUAAGUCUGAUGUGAAAACUCGCGGCUUAACCGCGAGCGGUCAUUGGAAACUGUAGGACUUGAGUACAGAAGAGGAGAGUGGAAUUCCACGUGUAGCGGUGAAAUGCGUAGAGAUGUGGAGGAACACCAGUGGCGAAGGCGGCUCUCUGGUCUGUGACUGACGCUGAGGUGCGAAAGCGUGGGUAGCAAACA
rnacentral:rRNA from 1 species